AGUGAACGCUGGCGGUAGGCUUAACACAUGCAAGUCGAACGGCAGCCCAGUAAGUUCCUGCUCUUACGGGUGGGGAGUGGGGGACGGGAGAGGAUUGAAACCGUACCUAUAUUUUCGGGGGGGAUAAGGUAAGGAGACUUACGCUCCUACAGCAAUCUUUACCCGGGUGAGAGAAUGGGAAAUUCGGGCCUUGCGGGAAUGAAUGGGCGGAUGUCCGCCGGAUUAGCUGGUUGGUAGGGUAACGGCCAACCAAGGCAACGAUGCGUAGCCGGACUGAGAGGGUGAUCGGCCACACUGGAACGGAGACACGGUCCAGACUCCUACGGGAGGCAGCAGUGGGGAAUGUUGGGCAAUGGGCGCAAGCCUGACCCAGCCAUGCUGCGUGAGUGAAGAAGGCCUUCGGGUCGUAAAGCCCUUUUAUUGGGAAAGAACAGCUGUGGAUGAAAACACCGCGGUUCUGACGGUACCCAGUCAAAAAGCACCGGCUAACUACGUG
rnacentral:rRNA from 1 species